rnacentral:rRNA from 1 species
GACGAACGCUGGCGGCGUGCCUAAUACAUGCAAGUAGAACGCUGAAGGAGGAGCUUGCUCUUCUGGAUGAGUUGCGAACGGGUGAGUAACGCGUAGGUAACCUGCCUGGUAGCGGGGGAUAACUAUUGGAAACGAUAGCUAAUACCGCAUAACAGUAGAUGUUGCAUGACAUUUGCUUAAAAGGUGCAAUUGCACCACUACCAGAUGGACCUGCGUUGUAUUAGCUAGUUGGUGGGGUAACGGCUCACCAAGGCGACGAUACAUAGCCGACCUGAGAGGGUGAUCGGCCACACUGGGACUGAGACACGGCCCAGACUCCUACGGGAGGCAGCAGGAGGGAAUCUUCGGCAAUGGACGGAAGUCUGACCGAGCAACGCCGCGUGAGUGAAGAAGGGUUUCGGAUCGUAAAGCUCUGUUGUAAGAGAAGAACGAGUGUGAGAGUGGAAAGUUCACACUGUGACGGUAUCUUACCAGAAAGGGACGGCUAACUACGUG